GAUGAAGAACGCAGCAAAAUGCGAUAAGUAGUGUGAAUUGCAGAAUUCAGUGAAUCAUCGAAUCUUUGAACGCACAUUGCGCCCCUUGGUAUUCCAUGGGGCAUGCCUGUUCGAGCGUCAUUUGUACCCUCAAGCUUUGCUUGGUGUUGGGCGUCCUGUCGUAUUACGACUCGCCUUAAAUACAUUGGCAGCCGGCACUUUGGCCUAGGAGCGCAGCACAUUUUGCGAUCGUAGCCCGUUGUACUGGCGUCCAUCAAGAACAUUUACCACGUUUGACCUCGGAUCAGGUAGGGAUACCCGCUGAACUUAAGCAUAUCAAUAAGCGGAGGA
rnacentral:misc_RNA from 1 species